rnacentral:rRNA from 1 species
CCCCAUCGCCAGUUACCAGCAAGUCAAGUUGGGGACUCUGGCGAGACUGCCGGCGCAAGCUGUGAGGAAGGCGGGGAUGACGUCAAAUCAGCACGGCCCUUACGUCCGGGGCGACACACGUGUUACAAUGGCAGGUACAGAGAGAAGCAAUGCGGCGACGCAAAGCGGAACUUGAAAGCCUGUCUCAGUUCGGAUUGGAGUCUGCAACUCGACUCCAUGAAGCUGGAUUCGCUAGUAAUCGCGCAUCAGCCAUGGCGCGGUGAAUACGUUCCCGGGCCUUGUACACACCGCCCGUCAAGCCAUGGAAGCCGGGAGUGCCUGAAGUGUGCAACCGCAAGGAGCGCCCUAAGGUAAAACUGGUGACUGGGGCUAAGUCGUAACAAGGUAGCCGUAA